UAGUUGCACCAGUUAGAGAGAGGAGAGGAGCUGCUAGCUCUCAGUCCUAAGCUCCAGCAUUCGCUUGGCUUGGUUCCCUCUUCUUGUGAUUUAUCAUGAUACACAAACUCUUCUGUAUCCUCCAUUUUUCCCUUGGAGUAGGACUCACGGGUGCUGGGAUCACUCAAACUCCGAGAUCCCGAAUUACACAUACAGGAAAGAAGCUGGUCCUAGACUGCUCGCAGGAUAUGAACCAUUUCUCAAUGUUCUGGUAUCGGCAAGACGCAGGACAAGGGCUGAGGCUGAUCUAUUACUCAACUGGCGUAGGCAGCAUUGCCAAAGGAGACAUUACGGAAGGAUACAAUGUCUCCCGACGACAGCAGGAGAGCUUCAGGCUGACACUGGCAUCCGCCAGCCCCAGCCAGACCUCCUUGUACCUCUGCAGCAGCAGCAGUCACAGUACUGCGCCCGCAGCUGCUCUCUGCACAAAAAGGGCCGGCACACACCUUGGCCUUCCUGAGCCCAAGCUGCUCUUCCCAGAUGUGAACUGGAGGGGCCUUGUGCUGCAGGAGAGACAGAGACAGAGACUUUCAAUGUUAGUUUGCUCCAUGUAA